CUCCCUCAGUCCUUAGCUGGCGGCUGGAGUGGGAGCAGGAGGGUCCUGGCUGGUGCGGAGGGAGAGCUCCGCCAGUCAGGGAAGGGGCUCAGGGUGUGCUGAAACACACAAGUCUGCCCAGCCUGAGGAGGCUCGGCAGCUAACUGCCAUCUUCUCACCUCUCAGGUUUGGGGGAGCCAUUAAGGUGGUACUGAGAGAGCUGUUCUUGCAGUCUUGCGUGGCUCUGAUGGCCAGGCUUAGGAGACAGCUGUGUUGGCGCUCAGGUGUCUCUGCCUCCUGACAGGUGACAGUGUUUAUCGAUGGUUUGGGUCAUUCAAAAUAGGCUUUGCUGAACUGUGAGAGUUUUUGGAAGCUGAGAUGCGCUAAAAUCUCCAGCUGGAGAGUUUUCUCUGCUAAACUCUGCGUUUCUUGUUAUUUUGUGCUGGCCAAAGAACAAGAUGCUAUAGUAUCACUCCAGCAAGAAGCCCUACUAAGAACCCCGUCUCUGGGUUAACACCUUCUGCUCUGAGAAGCAUCGAAGUACAACGCUUUCUCCCUCUCUUUGGCAUUCUUGUGUGGAAGUUCAUGAAGUUUCCUCUCAUAACCCCUUCUGCUCCAUGUGUCAGCAAGGAAAGACGUUGAGUUAGCAGCAGCAGCAGCAGCACGCCACAGACAUGCGGCUCCCUACAUAGCUGCCUCUCUAUUUCAAGUUUACCUAUUUCUUGUGCUGCAAAUCACUUACACCAGCAGUUCAGAACAGCUGUUAGACGGGGCCACGAUGGUGCUCAAACUUCUGCUACAGGUUCUAGUAAUCAUCUCACAUUGGGACCUUCCUUCCUUACAGCUUUUCUAAGUUCAGGCGGGGGGGGAGAUUUACCCUUUCUGGAGUGAGCUUCAGUAAGGUGAUUUAGCACCUGUGUGAUCCCAAGUGCAGACUGAUUUACUAGUUUAAAAUACCUAGAAGUAGUUGUGGCUGCAGAGGAUGCUGUGGUAGGUUAAUGAAGAAGGACUUUCUGUUCUGCAGAUAAUUUUAGAUUUACUCUUCAGCUGGGGGUGUUUGUUAAUUCCAGACACAGGGCUGAAAAAAUGGAGUUGUCCAGACAUUAAUAGGUAAGUAGACAGGAGCAAAAGCAUUGGAUGCAGGCAUCAUUUGAGAGGUUCAAACAAGAGCCGGUCUCAAAGCAUUGAGUCUGGCAUCUGAUCUCAAUCUAGAUAUUGCAGCUCUAUGGAGUUUAUAACCUGUCUUUUAGCUAGUAUACACAUUUCCAGUUUCUUUAUCAUACAGCAGUGCGUUUGCUCUGGUGUACUAUCACUCUGACGCUUUCAUUGGAUUUCUUCUGAACAGAUCUCAGUAUGGGUGCAAUUAAAUCUGACCUAGAAGUUCAGCUUCAUCACUCAAAUCUGAGAUGCUGGCACCAUCCCAGUUCUAUCAAUAAAUAGCAGUUUAUGAGAGCUGGAAAUGUUGGCUGCAUCAAAGAAAUCCUUUGAGGUAUUCACAUUUAUAAUAAAUCUCAGGAUAAAAAAGGUGACAGCAACUGUAAGUUGAAGAGUCGUCACUGCCUGCACAGAAGCUUUGUUUCCAAGUUUGGUGCUAAUAAGUCUCAGUAUCAGGUCUUACUUACAAUUUUAAAAAGCUUCCUUGGGGAGAUUUGAAAUUCAUGACAGCUCCGAUACUUGCUUAAAGCAGAAUAUUAAUGACUCAGAGGCCAUUGGGGGACAGAGGAAAUUGAAGGCAUUUGUGGUAAUAGUGACAAAAAAUUAAUUGUAAAGAUAGAAACAGCUAAUUACUGAGGGCAACAAAUAAAACUACCAGGACUUUUCUAGUUUGACAUAUUUCUUCUGUAAAACCUUUCCAGUUCUUGUUCCCAUCCCCUUGCUGAAGUAUAGGAACACUUCAGCAGAAAGCUCUGUUAAGAGCACACCAAGUCCUUUAUCCUUUUGUGUAGCACACACAUCAGCAGAAACACACACAUCCACAGCCUGCGUAUUCUGCAGGAUUUAAGGAUGCAUGCAGUACAGGAAGAAAUCAGAUACAGGGAUUGCAGUUGUACUUCUGAUUAUGUUGCACGUAAUGCUUCUUUUGUAGUAUCUGGGAUAUGCCAGGCUUCAGGGGUGUAUUUUUCUACUUGUUCUUGACAACUGUUGAGUAUGAUAUCAUGGAGAAAUAAGACUGGGCAUUUCCUCUGCAUGAACUGGUUUCUGAGGUAUUUUCUGUAGCAGAAUUUCUAAGUCCUAAGAUUGACCUUGUGUGUCAGCAUAAAAAAAGACAAGCACUGGACGUGUACAUCUCAUGCCCUGUUACAAUCCCUAGCUCUGGAAGAUGGAAUACAGACAGGGAAUUCUCUAAAUGGUCCUAAUUACAGCUUCUGCUUCUUGCUGUUACCAACACAUCUGCAUCGGUACAUUUUAAACACCCUUUUUCCUACUCUGAAGACCACCAGAAAGUUUUAUUGUCAGCCUGACAGGAGUAUGUCUCCCUGUUUCCUUAGCUUAGCCCUUUUGCCUCAGGGCCAUUGCGCAGGUGUUUAGCCUGUACUUUCCUUGCUCCACUGGGAGCUUCCCUGAAUCUCUCCAUAACGUAGAAGGAAGCCAUUUGUGUUCAAAUGUGGACGAAGAUUUGCAUUCUGUCACAAACCGGAUGCCCUUAAAUCAUGCCCUUGCCUGAUAUGAAAGCAAUCUAUUAUUCACAAAGGACUGUCUAUUUGGAUUUAUUUGGAAUGGAAAAUUUUUUCCGUAUCUCAAAUAUAAAGUACUUCAUAGAUUUUCUAGAAACUGCUUUCAUAGUUUCUGCCACACAGCACUGCUUACUUUCAUAAAUCUUUAUGUUCUCAGUAGAAAAUCGAUGCCUACUUAUUAAUACAAUAUUGAUAUGUGUUUCAUGAGUAAUAAAGGAUGCGGUGUCGUGCACGUACGUAUACUCACAGAGCAGGGUUGCAUGGAGAAGUUUACAGUCGUUCUGUGCAGUGGGAUGCAUUGCAAUGACAAGUCUGCGGCCAAUUUCUGUUAAGUUCAUAAAUUCAAAUACUGGAAUUUGACAGAAUCCCAUUUUCUGUUACUCAGACACAAUAAGCAUUCAUUGCAACUCCAAACUAAGACCAAGUCUGAAAAAUGAAAUGGCGAGUACCUGUGGCUCCCGAAGCGCUGAGCCCUACCAAUAUAAAUUUUACGCAGAACAGCAACAGAGCAGGGAAAUGCUGGAGAAACAAAUGCCAGAGUCUCAGCCUCAAAAGAAGAAAGACGUGAGCUUUUUCUCACUUGGAAACCCUUGUCGUCUCUGCAGGCACGCGGAAAAGCCAUCAACUGCUUGCUGUGCUGGGCUAGGUGGAGCCGCCUCCCGGAUAACGUGAUAGCAGCAUCCAGCAUCUGUGGGUUGGGACCGAAGCCCCCAGUGAAGGCGGCUGCUGGCUGCUUCGGCCAGAGGAGCCGUGCUGAGGGGGCCUGCGGCAGCCUGAAUUGCUCCGACUUGGCCCCAGCACAAUGCCGGCGAUGCUGUCCCGAAUGCCAGGACGCCGGCUGGAGAUCGCAGAGGGCAAAAGAGUCCUUUUAAACAAUCGUCAGACACCCUCCUCACUGUCUUAGGGGGCAAGGAAAAAUGUGUCUUCCAAAGAAUUAUGCUCAGUAAUCUUUAGAUAGAAGUGGGGAGAAGAUGGUAUUAAAUCAUACUAAGAAAUAACGGUAUUAACAGGAGGAACAUAGGCCAGCACGUGCCACAGUUAGAAAGCUGGCAAAGUGGCUGUAGGAGGGAAGCAAGCGCAAAGCUACUGUGCGCGCUUUGCCCCAGGAGCCAGGGACACAGGCACGCGGUGCAGAUGGUGUGGAAGGGGGGCAGGCAGAGAUAACACAGCAAAGUGAACAGGCGGCCCUGAGCAACAAACAGAGAAGUGUUUGUAUCAUCACAUUUUUAUGCUGCAUCCUUCCUUGCUGCGGGAGCAAUUUAUAGCAGUGCAGACCAACAACCGAGCUGGCAUCACAGGCGCUAGCCUGUCGAAGUACUGAAUGUGUAAAUGCCUUAAAUGAAGCAGUGUAUAAAAAGCAGCGGGCAUUUCUUUCUGCCCCUCAGCUCAUCUGUGGUGAACUUAGCUCAGUGCUCAAAUGACAGAGAAUUACAUUCAUCAUAAGCUAAGGCACAGGUCUCACCCCACUAUGUUCCUGAGAUUUUUGUGGCGGUAGGCACUCCAGAUCUGUGAGCAUCCGUUUAGUCUGAUAGUCUUUAUCAACACUUUUCCAAACAUUUCAUACAUUCUGUUUAUCACCAAGCGUGGGGUUAAAGGUAAACUUUAUAGCAUGCAGAUUUCCAAAAGAUUUAAUGUUUCAUUUUUCUCCACUAUGUCACUCCAUCCAUAUUCUUUGUAAAGCAGCCACAGAGGGCUGAUGACGGGCUCAUCUGCCUGCCAUUCCUUUCGCACCUCUUUGCUACCUGCCUCUCAUUUCUCUUUGCCUUGAAAGUCACAGCUCGGUCCCCGUACCCACCUCCUCAGCUCGCUGGUAGCUGGAGCGGCAGAGCCACGGCUAGACCUGGCACCUCCUGUGGAUGCAGAAUGCUCUGGCUACAUCAGGGGAGUCCAGGAGGAUUCGUGGCUGGACCCAAAGGGCUGCCACAUUCGUGUCUGCCCCCCAAGGGAUGUUCAGGCUUGAGGGACACCGUGAGGCUGGUGCUCCAGGAAAGGCUGCCUUCUGCCUCAGGAUGGUGAUAAGAGUUGAUGUAAGGAUCACAGCCUGGAGAGGAAUGUACACAAUUCAUUCAAGGAAUCUCCAUCUUAUUUGGGCUCUGAGCUGAUGUAGUUAUCACGGAGAAAACAUUUCCUUUGCUAAAAAGGAUGAAGAAAGCUCCAGAGGGACUGAAAGGAGUAUUGCCAAAAUUUCUACAGCUGAAACUGUCCUCCUACCUGUCACACAGCUGCAAGGUUGCAUUCAGAAAGCCUGUGUGGUGGAGAGGCAGCCUAUCCACCAGACAGCCAUCCCGUUCCUGCUUGCCAAGGCUGACCUCGCAGGAAGGUGCUUCUCAGCAUCACCUGGAAAGCAAACGUCUUUGGUUGACAGAUACAGAUAGAUGACGUACAUUUUUUCUAUGCGUGCAAUAUCUGACCAGUAGUUCACAUUUUUUCACAUGCUUGACUGGAUCAAAUUUUCUUAGACUUUAAAAGGAAAGUUGCAGCCUUUUAAGGAAGUGUUUUAGGAAGCUGCUCAGAUGCUAGCUAAUGAGCCGGGGUCCACGUGAGUUGAAGAGGCUUUGUUGAAUGAGUUUCUGACAAACCAGGAAGAAAAAAUUGCUACAUGUAGCUUGAAUCAAUCCCGAAAAGAAUGGGCAACUAGGGCCAUAUGGCAACCUCAUAAUUACUAACUGCCAUGCAAAUAACAAUGUACAAAUAAUAGCAAUAAAAUGAAGGCUACGAGCUUGUAGGCUUCUCCAGGGAAAGGUCCUGAUGGCAUCCAGGAAUCUGGAGUGGGGGGGGAGAGGGUGUUUCUUUGUCUCUGUGUUUACCCUUUUCAGUGCUGAAACAAAAACACUUACGUCUCCUCCUAGGAUGAACUGUUUACUAUGAAGGUUACCUACCUGCCUAGACACCUGUUUCUUUUUUUGUUUACUGCAUACUAAUGAAACGAAACUGGGGUUAAUUAGGCACUGCAGUUGUAUUCAGAUUUACUAAGGAGAUAUGAAAACUUUAAGAAGUGAAACAAGAAAUCAUUACAGAUACUUACAGUACUUAUUUUAUGCAUCUCUUAAUUGUAAUCAUUACCAGUAAUAAUUCUGUAAACCAGUCUUGAAUAAUGGUCGAUUCACACUCCUUUGUGUGAUGGGCCAAGGAGGUGUAUUUUAAUGGAUUGCAUAAAUGAAGUCAGUUUGCUAAGCAAACCCAACAGCCUAUAUAUUCAAGAUAGCUCUCUGAGCUUUAGGUACAUGGCAUACUGACAACAGCAAUCCUUAAAACUCAAGGACCAUACAGCUCUUGUCUUCAUAAAUUAGGAUACCUUGCAUACAUCAGAUCCACAAAGAUGCAUUUUUUCAAUAGAGCGCAAGUCUAAUCCUGAAAUUCUUCUGCUUGCCUUCAUCAAGCAGAUAAGAAGUCCCUUGCUCUUAAACAGGGUCUUCAUUUUCUUAUUUGGGACAACUGCCAAGUGGCUAGAGAUGGGAUGUGGCAUCUUAAUACCACUUAUUUGUUGGUGCACUUUGACAUCACAUCUGUAGCAAGAAAGGGCACGGACAGCCUCUCUUCCUUCUCAAGCCCAACUUCUUUUUAGGGUCUUGAAGACGCCAGUAAGGGGAAUAAAUAUGAAAGAUCUGCACCAAGCAACUCUGCUUACAAGGAAGUAACUUCCUUUGACCCCUGGACUAGAUUGGCAAGCACAGACCAUGCAGGAAAGUGGCACAUGGAGCCCCAAUUAAUGAAUAAUUGAGGGACUGUUCUGCAAAAAUGGGAACCGUUUCUAAUCUGUGAAUGUAGCAGUGCGUGGCAGAUCUACAGAUUUUUGUAAUUAGCAGGCAUCCAAAGUAUGCUGUUGACGCCACUCGAACUCCUGCAGCGUGAGGCAUUCUCUCCAGGAGGAGGAAGAUGGCAGUGAAAAGUAUGCUCUUGCAUAUGAACCUUUGACCCAAACAAGUACCUGCUGAAGAAGGCACAGCCUGCUCCUUGCUCUUUCAGUGUCGGAAAUAACGCUGUCCUUUGGAUGCACCAGCGUGAGGACAGGUAGGAGACGACGAGAGAGCAGGUUGGCGCUGUGUGUUGCCUUACUGCAUAGGUCUGGCGCAUCCCAGAAGUCAGGACAGGCAAAGACAACGCAAAGGAACCAUAACAAAAGGAAAGUGAACUUGUUGGUCUCAGCUCAGUGCACAUGAGCGCUGGACAAACAGCAAGUUAUUCCAAUAAAGAAAGGAGAAGAAUGUUCCUCUGUUGCCCUUUUUAUUAUCCUUGUUAUGAAUUUUUGUUGCCGAAAGGUAAGUUACAAAGUUAAAUUUUAGCUGUGAUGAAUGCAUUGUUUCGUCUCUUGCUUCUUGAGAUACAUUCAUUAGCUGAUUCAUAGAUCUGGUGCUCUGCCAGCUGUAUGAAAGGCCAGGCAAGCUCUGUGUGUGUGUCUGAGAACGCUCCUGCCCUUUUCCCUAUCACUGUUUACCUGUCAUUUCUGAUGGUGUACCUCACAGACCUCACUGACUGCAGAAAUGUGAAUCAUAUUUGAACAGCAGGAAUCAGAAAUUGGCUUCCAACAAAGGACAGUGCAACACACAUGAGCUGUGGUUAGAAAGGCAUGCUGUAGUCUUCCAGUGCUACUUACUUUCAGAUGGUUCUUAUUAUUUUGAAGCUAUUGCCAGAAGUGAGGAAAGCAGAUUAUUUCUUAAUUGAAUGUGAACUGAGAGUGAGUUUGACUUUAAGUUUCUAAAACCAGGGCCUUCACAAAUUCAAAAAUGUGGCUACUCUAUGAAGGAGAUAUUACAAAGUCUUUGCCCCAGAUAGUUUCUUAUUGAUGUCAGUGAGAACAUAUUGUGUAUCUAAAAAAAUAAGAACUGUUUGUACAAUAAAUGUCUGUGGAGAGGGCAGUACAUGUAUUCUUGCCUCUGAAGGGUUCUCCAGUUACUGCUUACCCUCUUGUCAAAGUUUCCUUAAAAUUCAUUCUGUUUACUGACAUUUCCAUGGCUACUGAUCUCUUGAAGCUGUCACCUUUGCCCACACAGACACUGUUUCUCUGGUGUCUCAGACUCUGAAUGCAGGUGUCGGUUCUUCCUAUUUUGUAGGGACCUUAUUCAGCAAGUCAUUGCCACUUAAUUGGACCUUACUUCCCAUCUUGAUUUGUGUCUGAAGAAUUUGUUCUCUGAAUUUAAAUGUUUUUUCCUGAACUCAUCUUUUUGUAAGCUGAGUAUGAUUGACAUUAGCUGUUUUGGGUGUGAUCUUUGCAUGUAAAAGGCAUAUGGGUUCAACACCUCUACUUGUAGACUGUUUUUUUCUAACUUCUGUCUCUGUCCCAAAUGUCUAGUGUUUAUCAUUCACCAUUUCCCCAUUGUGACUGGAUCACUGUAAAGCCUUUGCUUCCUCAGUGAGAACAGGUGGGAAGUGAGCAAUGGCGCUCAGCUUCUGUGUUGAGAAUGUGAACAUGUGGAAAUGGAAGAACGUCCUUUCUCUUCAUUUCACAGCUGUAUGCUCCCAGCUGGUGUUGCCUCCUAUGGGAACAACGGUUUCUGGCUCUCAGGGGCUUGGUAGCAUGGCUUACAAAGUGGCCAUCUUCUUCUGCAAACAGGGACUAACAUCUGUAGGUAUAGGCCAUUCUCAGUAUAUUUAAGAGGCACAUCCCCCAACACCUGAAACAGAUGCUACAGAGAGAGUUUAUGGGGUUUGUGGGAAUCCCUUGUUAAAAUUCUGCCAUCUCCCCUAAAAGAAGCAUUGUCAUUAUUCUCCUCUACAUGCUGGAGCUCAUCCCCUCAGUGUGUAUUGCUAAGUCAUCUCUGCCAGAACGUGCCCCUGGCAAUUAGAAAAGUCCAUAUAAAGAAAUAUCCCUAUUGUUCUUUUAUACCUCUGUGAUGUCUGCUACUGUCCCCGGUAUUCAUUUACCUGUUUUAAAGAGUAAGUUCCUCAGAAAGAUCCCCUACUACGACUAAUCCCCUGUGUUAUGCAGGAGAGACGGUGCAUUUCUGAAGAGGAAAGCAGAGAUAUCACCAGCAAAUGCAACUCAUGUUAUACUACUUUGCCAGAAGGCAUUGUAUCCUUUCUUGUUUGGGAAGAUGAUAAAAAAAAAAAAGUUUCAGUCCUUUAUAUGAGAAGAUCCAAAGGACACAUUUUCACAUGCCCCCUUUCGUCAUGGUCACUGAGUUUGACCCCAUUGGGUCACGAGAUUUCAGUGAGAACACCUUCAUGAAAGCCCAAGAGCACACUGCCAGUAGGAAAGGAAGAACCUCUUUCUUCACCUUGGUGUAAAACCAAUGGUUGCGUGCUUUCAACAGUUCCUUGUACCUCUGUUUCCAGUGCACAUUUACAGAUGCUUUCAGUGUAUGUACUUGGUGUGACAUCAAAAAGAAACCUGUCUUGGCAAAGGAGCACCAGAGGAAACUCGUAACUUGUUUAUGGAAAUUGUAAAUUACUGUAAUUAAAUAAAAUGAUAUAACUACAAAAAGAGUAUGUAACUGGUUUUAUUGUCGCCCCACCCUCCCUUGCAUCUUACAUGUUCUUAGAUUAGAUAAUAUUUGUUGUUAGAGCAUACACCACGAUGAAACUAUUCCCAAUUUGAACUUCAUAGGGCUCCUGUAAUCGGAAAGGUGAAGAACAGCAGCACUGCACUGUGCCUCCAGAUGAUGAAGCACCAGAGGAAGCUCUCAAGGAGAGCAAACUACAUUCAAACAACUACACGUUAGACUCAAACCAACCUCUGUAAACUGAAUGGAAACUUGAGCAGCUGCACGUGUCCUGUAACACAUGUCCUGAAAAAUCUACAAACUGCCUCUGGUGGAGCAACGGAGCAAGGACCCUCUAGUUGCAGUGCUCUGCUUCCCACUCCUCGUCAUACAACUUUGUUAGGUAGUUCAGCCCUGUUGAUCUCAACAGUUGAUAGUAAAACAUUGCAUUUAGCUUAACAAACUCUCUCUGCAACUUUGAUGAAGCCCUGAGACAGGUUCUCAGUUUUCCACCAAAUUUCAUCUGAAUUCAGACUUACCUCUGUGUUUGGGGGCAGCUCUGAAGAAUGGCAUUGUUUCUCAAUGCAACACCUUAA